GGAAACUGCCCACUACGAAGCUGAAAGCCAGGGCUAGGGCUCCGACGUGCCGGUAAUGACUUGUAGUUUGGAGAUCUGGUUUGCUGUAUGCCACUUUGACUGUACGCCCGCGCUAAAGCUCGGUAUCAAUAUGGACACCCGGGGGGAGCCCGGGGGGCUCAGGUUGGUUAACUAGGGCUGGACCGGGCCAGAGAGGAAACUCAACAGCCAGAAAAGUCCCGUGGAGUUGUGAUGGGAUCGCGCAUAAAGAAUGGGAGCUGCUUUGGGGCAGACCUGAAGUCACCGGCGAUCCAAGCUACCGGCACGUUU
rnacentral:SRP_RNA from 1 species